rnacentral:rRNA from 1 species
UGAAUACGAGAUGCAACGGCGUCGAAGCAGUGUAUGUCAGACUUCCAAGAAAAGCUCGCAAUGUCAUAAAUAAAGAAUGCCUGUACCAUAACCGACACAGGUGGGUAGGUAGAGUAUACUAAGGGGCGCGAGAUAACUCUCUCUAAGGAACUCGGCAAAAUAACUCCGUAACUUCGGGAGAAGGAGUGCCUUCUUUAAGAAGGUUGCAAUAACAAGAUCCAAGCAACUGUUUAUCAAAAACACAGGUCUCCGCUAAGUCGUAAGACGAUGUAUGGGGGCUGACGCCUGCCCAGUGCCAGAAGGUUAAAGAAGUUGGUUAGCUUUUGCGAAGCUGAUGACUGAAGCCCUGGUGAACGGCGGCCGUAACGAUAACGGUCCUAAGGUAGCGAAAUUCCUUGUCGGGUAAGUUCCGACCCGCACGAAAGGCGUAAUGAUUUGGAUACUGUCUCGGAGAGGGACUCGGUGAAAUAGACUUGUCUGUGAAGAUGCGGACUACCUGCACCAGGACAGAAAGACCCUAUGAAGCUUUACUGUAACUUGAAAUUGAAAUUGGACUUUAUUUGCGCAGUAUAGGUGGAAGGCGUUGAAAGUAAUCUUGCGGGAUUAGUGGAGCCAUCAGUGAGAUACCACUCCUAUAAUGUUAGAUUUCUAACUUUGGAUCAUGAUCUGGUCAAAGAACAGUUUCAGGCGGGCAGUUUGACUGGGGCGGUCGCCUCCCAAAUGGUAACGGAGGCGUACAAAGGUUUCCUCUGAACGGGUAGAAAUCGUAUCUAGAGUGUAAAGGCAUAAGGAAGCUUGACUGUGAGACCUACAAGUCGAGCAGGGACGAAAGUCGGUCUUAGUGAUCUGACGGUGCUGAGUGGAAAGGCCGUCACUCAACGGAUAAAAGUUACUCUAGGAUAACAGGCUGAUCUCCCCCAAGAGUUCACAUCGACGGGGAGGUUUGGCACCUCGAUGUCGGCUCAUCGCAUCCUGGGGCGGUAGUACGUCCCAAGGGUUGGGCUGUUCGCCCAUGAAAGCGGUACGCGAGCUGGGUUCAGAACGUCGUGAGACAGGUCGGUCCAUAUCCGGUGUAGGCGUUAGAAUAUUGAGAGGAGCCUUCUUUAGUACGAGAGGACCGAGAAGGACAUACCUCUGGUGUACCAGUUAUCGUGCCAACGGUAAACGCUGGGUAGCUAUGUAUGGAGAGGAUAACCGCUGAAAGCAUCUAAGUGGGAAGCCCACCUCAAGAUGAG